rnacentral:rRNA from 1 species
CCCUUAGACGUUCUGGGCCGCACGCGCGCUACACUGACAAAGGCAACGAGCUACUCUUCACCGAAAGGUGUGGGUAAUCUUUUGAAACUUUGUCGUGCUGGGGAUAGAUCCUUGCAAUUUUUGAUCUUAAACGAGGAAUUCCUAGUAAGCGCAAGUCAUCAACUUGCGUUGAUUACGUCCCUGCCCUUUGUACACACCGCCCGUCGCUACUACCGAUUGAAUGGUUUAGUGAGGCCUUCGGAUCCGCGGCUCGUUUGUGGAGAAGUUGGACAAACUCAGUCAUUUAGAGGAAGUAAAAGUCGUAACA